rnacentral:rRNA from 1 species
UACGAGUUGUAACUUAAACUUAAAAGACUUGACGGUGCUUCAUCCAACCUAGAGGAGCCUGUCCAUAACCGAUAACCCACGUUUAACCCCACCCCCUCUUGCCAACAGUCUAUAUACCGCCGUCACAAGCUUACCUUGUAAAAGAAACAAAGUAGGCCAAAAAGCUCUACGCUAACACGACAGGUCGAGGUGUAACCAAUGAAGGGGCAAAGAUGGGCUACAUUCUCUUAUCAGAGAAUACGAACAACACUAUGAACAUAGUGAUAGAAGGAGGAUUUAGUAGUAAGAUAGGAAUAAAACACCCAACUGAACAUAACGCAAUGAAGUGCGUACACACCGCCCGUCAUCCCUGCCUGU